CCUACGGGUGGCAGCAGUGAGGAAUAUUGGUCAAUGGGCGAGAGCCUGAACCAGCCAAGUCGCGUGAAGGAUGAAGGAUCUAUGGUUUGUAAACUUCUUUUAUAUGGGAAUAAAGUGAGGAACGUGUUCCUUUUUGUAUGUACCCUAUGAAUAAGCAUCGGCUAACUCCGUGCCAGCAGCCGCGGUAAUACGGAGGAUGCGAGCGUUAUCCGGAUUUAUUGGGUUUAAAGGGUGCGUAGGUUGUUUUUUAAGUCAGCGGUGAAAGUUUGUGGCUCAACCAUAAAAUUGCCGUUGAAACUGGACGACUUGAGUGUGUUUGAGGUAGGCGGAAUGCGUGGUGUAGCGGUGAAAUGCAUAGAUAUCACGCAGAACUCCGAUUGCGAAGGCAGCUUACUAAGCCAUAACUGACACUGAAGCACGAAAGCGUGGGGAGCAAACAGGAUUAGAUACCCUUGUAGUC
rnacentral:rRNA from 1 species